rnacentral:lncRNA from 1 species
UAUAGUGAACAAAUCAAUUGAAAAAAUUAACGGCAUGUUUGGUUCACUUAUUUUAGACUAUGGAAUCGGAAUGUAAUUUAUUGAUUUCGAUAGUUGUCAUUUAUUUUAUAGGAAUCAGAUUUCGAUUCCCAUUCCACUCCGGAAUAGGAAUGGUCAAAUCCAUUUAUGAUCCAAUCCGACUUUGAAUUCCGGAUUGACUCAUUCCAAAGUACACUAUUCAAAAUCCUUUUUCACCAACAAUCUCCUCUCUCUUCAUCGCUUUUUUCUUUCUUAAUCAAAACCCUCUCUCAAAAAUUUUAAAUUUUCAUUCCAAUAAUGAACCAAAUAUUUUUGGCUGAUUCGUCAUUUUAUUUUCUAUUCCAAAACAAUUCAAUUCUAUUUUUCAUUUCUAUUCUAAUCAUGAACCAAACAUGCCCUAACUGCUAAUAGCUAAUCAAGCCUUAAAAUUCAAUUAAAAUAAAUUGACUUAAUU